CUAAUUUAAUAGUGCACUGAUGAUCCACAACCUGAAACUUUUUUUUUUUAAGAAAUCAUCUAAGCUACAGCAAAUUACCUAUCCUAAUUGAAACAAAACCAAGACUUUGAAGAAACCCUUGAACUUACAGAUACAGUAUUCAAUUCCUUCUACCAGUCUUAUACCAUACUCUUCCUGCCUAAUUCUCCUAAAUUUCCUGCCAUAUCCAUAGAAUACAUAUCCCGAUCCAAACAAAAAGAAGACUUUUAAGAAAACCUCGAUUUAGAGAUAUCAAACAAUUCUUUCAACCAGUCCUGCACCUUGAUCUGACAGCCUGAAUUUAAUAUCUAAAGGUGUUUAAUU